AACGAACGCUGGCGGCAGGCUUAACACAUGCAAGUCGAACGGGUGUAGCAAUACAUCAGUGGCAGACGGGUGAGUAACACGUGGGAACCUUCCUAGGGGUACGGAACAACUCAGGGAAACUUGAGCUAAUACCGUAUACGUCCGUGAGGAGAAAGAUUUAUCGCCCUUAGACGGGCCCGCGUCAGAUUAGCUAGUUGGUGGGGUAACGGCCUACCAAGGCGACGAUCCGUAGCUGAUCUUAGCGGAUGAUCAGCCACACUGGGACUGAGACACGGCCCAGACUCCUACGGGAGGCAGCAGUGGGGAAUCUUGGGCAAUGGGCGCAAGCCUGAUCCAGCCAUGCCGCGUGAGUGAAGAAGGUCUUCGGAUUGUAAAGCUCUUUUGCCAGGGACGAUAAUGACGGUACCUGGAGAAUAAGCCCCGGCAAACUUCGUGCCAGCCGCCGCGGUAA
rnacentral:rRNA from 1 species